rnacentral:ncRNA from 1 species
GGAGUCUAACGUGUGCGCGAGUCAACGGUGAUCUUACGAAAAACCACGUUUGGCGCAAUGAAAGUGAACCGUUUACGGUGCGGACGAUGGCCUAGCGACCGAACCCACCGGCGUUCAAAGUCGCGCUGGUCCGCAGUCCCGGGGGGCGUCUCCGCCAAGUCGGCUUCGGCCGGGCUGGGGGCGCACCCUUAGCGCACACGUUGGUACCCGAAAGAUGGUGAACUAUGCCUGGCCAGGAUGAAGUCAGGGGAAACCGUGAUGGAGGUCCGCAGCGAUUCUGACGUGCAAAUCGAUCGUCUGAGCUGGGUAUAGGGGCGAAAGACUAAUCGAACCAUCUAGUAGCUGGUUCCAUCCGAAGUUUCCCUCAGGAUAGCUGGCGCCGAUGUGUCCCGCCCGUUCGCGGGCGUACGGACGCCGGUGGGACUCCGCGCUGUACGGCGCGGUAACAACACGCUCGUAACACGGAGGAUGUCUCAUACGGUAAAGCGAAUGAUUAGAGGACAUUGGGGCCGAAACGACCUCAACCUAUUCUCAAACUAUAAAUGAGUGAGAUCGCCGGCUUUACCUGGUACACCGCGUGAACCGCGUGCGAAGCCGGCGACGGAACCCUAGGCGCUUAGUGGGCCAUUUUUGGUAAGCAGAACUGGCGCUGCGGGAUGAACCGAACGCCGAGUUAAGGCGCCGAAAUCGACGCGUAUUCAGAGACCAUGAAAGGCGUUGGUUGCUGAUGACAGCAGGACGGUGGCCAUGGAAGUCGGAAUCCGCUAAGGAGUGUGUAACAACUCACCUGCCGAAGCAACUAGCUCUGAAAAUGGAUGGCGCUGGAGCGUCGUGCCUAUACUCGGCCGUCGACGGCAUAGUGGGGCCAGUCGUCGCUCGCGGCGGCCGGUCCCGGCAAGCCUCGACGAGUAGGAUGGCGCGGCGGUGUGCGUCGAAGGGCAGGUCGCGAGACCGCCUGGAGCCGCCGUCGGUGCAGAUCUUGGUGGUAGUAGCAAAUACUCGAGAGGGGCCCUCGGGGGCUGCCGUGGAGAAGGGUUUCUUGUGAACAGCCGUUGUCCAAGAGUCAGUCGAUCCUAAGCCCGGGGAGAGAUCCUC